UACGGAGGGGGCUAGCGUUGUUCGGAAUUACUGGGCGUAAAGCGCACGUAGGCGGCUUUGUAAGUUAGAGGUGAAAGCCCGGGGCUCAACUCCGGAAUUGCCUUUAAGACUGCAUCGCUAGAAUUGUGGAGAGGUAAGUGGAAUUCCGAGUGUAGAGGUGAAAUUCGUAGAUAUUCGGAAGAACACCAGUGGCGAAGGCGGCUCUCUGGAACGCAACUGACGCUGAGACGCGAAAGCGUGGGGAGCAAACAGG
rnacentral:rRNA from 1 species